AUUGAACGCUGGCGGCAUGCUUUACACAUGCAAGUCGAACGGUAACAGGCCGCAAGGUGCUGACGAGUGGCGAACGGGUGAGUAAUGCAUCGGAACGUGCCCAGUCGUGGGGGAUAACGCAGCGAAAGCUGCGCUAAUACCGCAUACGAUCUAUGGAUGAAAGCGGGGGACCGUAAGGCCUCGCGCGAUUGGAGCGGCCGAUGUCAGAUUAGGUAGUUGGUAGGGUAAAGGCUCACCAAGCCAACGAUCUGUAGCUGGUCUGAGAGGACGACCAGCCACACUGGGACUGAGACACGGCCCAGACUCCUACGGGAGGCAGCAGUGGGGAAUUUUGGACAAUGGGCGCAAGCCUGAUCCAGCAAUGCCGCGUGCAGGAAGAAGGCCUUCGGGUUGUAAACUGCUUUUGUACGGAACGAAACGGUCCUGGUUAAUACCCGGGGCUAAUGACGGUACCGUAAGAAUAAGCACCGGCUAACUACGUGCCAGCCGCCGCCGUAAGAC
rnacentral:rRNA from 1 species